AUUGAACGCUGGCGGCAGGCCUAACACAUGCAAGUCGAGCGGAUGAGGAAAGCUUGCUUUUCGAUUCAGCGGCGGACGGGUGAGUAAUGCCUAGGAAUCUGCCUGUUAGUGGGGGAUAACUCGGGGAAACUCGGGCUAAUACCGCAUACGUCCUACGGGAGAAAGUGGGGGAUCUUCGGACCUCACGCUAACAGAUGAGCCUGGGUCGGAUUAGCUAGUAGGUGAGGUAAUGGCUCACCUAGGCGACGAUCCGUAACUGGUCUGAGAGGAUGAUCAGUCACACUGGAACUGAGACACGGUCCAGACUCCUACGGGAGGCAGCAGUGGGGAAUAUUGGACAAUGGGCGAAAGCCUGAUCCAGCCAUGCCGCGUGUGUGAAGAAGGUCUUCGGAUUGUAAAGCACUUUAAGUUGGGAGGAAGGGUAUUCACCUAAUACGUGGGUACUUUGACGUUACCAACAGAAUAAGCACCGGCUAACUCUGUGCCAGCAGCCGCUGUAACAC
rnacentral:rRNA from 1 species